CGGGGGCGGUCGCUAUACAUGCAGUCGAGCGGACAGAAGGGAGCUUGCUCCCGGAUGUUAGCGGCGGACGGGUGAGUAACACGUGGGUAACCUGCCUGUAAGACUGGGAUAACUCCGGGAAACCGGAGCUAAUACCGGAUAGUUCCUUGAACCGCAUGGUUCAAGGAUGAAAGACGGUUUCGGCUGUCACUUACAGAUGGACCCGCGGCGCAUUAGCUAGUUGGUGGGGUAAUGGCUCACCAAGGCGACGAUGCGUAGCCGACCUGAGAGGGUGUCCAGCCCAUACUGGGACUGAACCACGGCCCAAAAUUUAUACGGGAGCAGCAGUAGGGAAUCUUUCCGCAUUGACGAAGUCUGACGGAACACCGCCGCGUGAGUAAUGAAGUUUUCGGAUCGUAAAGCUCUGUUGUUAGGGAAGAACAAGUGCGAGAUAACUGCCUCGCACCCUUGAACGGUACUUAACAGAAAGCCACGGCCUAACCUACGUGCCAGCAAGCGCGCGGUAAUAACGUAGGUGGGCAAGCGGUUGUCCGGAAUUAUUGGGCGUAAAGGGCUCGCAGGCGGUUUCCUUAAGUCUGAUGUGAAAGCCCCCGCUCUCAACCGGGGAGGGUCAUUGGAAACUGGAAACUUGAGUGCAAGAAGAAGGAGAAGUGGAAUUCCACGUUGUAGCGGUGAAAUGCGUAGAGAUGUGGAGGAACACCAGUGGCGAAGCCGACUCCUCUGGUCUGUAACUGACGCCUGAGGAGCGAAAGCGUGGGGAGCGAACAGGAUUAGAUACCUGGUAGUCCACGCCGUAAACGAUGAGUGCUAAGUGUUAGGGGUUUCCGCCCCUUAGUGCUGCAGCUACGCAUAAGCACUCGCCUGGGGAGUACGUCGCAGAUGAAUAGAAAAAUUAUAUAAGAAA
rnacentral:rRNA from 1 species